rnacentral:rRNA from 1 species
GAUGAACGCUGGCGGCGUGCCUAAUACAUGCAAGUCGAGCGAACAGACGAGGAGCUUGCUCCUCUGACGUUAGCGGCGGACGGGUGAGUAACACGUGGAGAACCUACCUAUAAGACUGGGAUAACUUCGGGAAACCGGAGCUAAUACCGGAUAAUAUAUUGAACCGCAUGGUUCAAUAGUAAAAGACGGUUUUGCUUUCACUUAUAGAUGGAUCCGCGCCGCAUUAGCUAGUUGGUAAGGUAACGGCUUACCAAGGCAACGAUGCGUAGCCGACCUGAGAGGGUGAUCGGCCACACUGGAACUGAGACACGGUCCAGACUCCUACGGGAGGCAGCAGUAGGGAAUCUUCCGCAAUGGGCGAAAGCCUGACGGAGCAACGCCGCGUGAGUGAUGAAGGUCUUCGGAUCGUAAAACUCUGUUAUUAGGGAAGAACAAAUGUGUAAGUAACUAUGCACGUCUUGACGGUACCUAAUCAGAAAGCCACGGCUAACUCCGUG